CCCUUAGAUGUCCUGGGCCGCACGCGCGUUACACUGAUGCAUUCAACGAGCUUAUAACCUUGGCCGAGAGGCCUGGGCAAUCUUGUUAACGUGCAUCGUGAUAGGGAUAGAUUAUUGAAAUUAUUAAUCUUGAACGAGAAAUUCCUAGUAAACGCAGAUCAUCAAUCUGCAUUGAUUACGUCCCUGCCCUUUGUACACACCGCCCGUCGCACCUACCGAUUGGAUGGUCCGGUGAAGCCUCGGGAUUGUGGUUCUUGCCGCUUUAUUGUGGCGUGACCGCGAGAACUUGUCUAAACCUUAUCAUCUAGAGGAAGGUGAAGUCGUAACA
rnacentral:rRNA from 1 species